rnacentral:rRNA from 1 species
UGGGGAAUAUUGGGCAAUGGAGGCAACUCUGACCCAGCAACGCCGCGUGAAUGAUGAAGGUCUUCGGAUUGUAAAGUUCUGUGAUGGGGGACGAAGAAAGUGACGGUACCCCAAGAGCAAGUCACGGCUAACUACGUGCCAGCAGCCGCGGUAAUACGUAGGUUGCAAGCGUUGUCCGGAUUUACUGGGUGUAAAGGGCGUGUAGGCGGAGGAGCAAGUCAGAUGUGAAAUCCCGGGGCUUAACCCCGGAACUGCAUUUGAAACUGUUUCCCUUGAGUAUCGGAGAGGCAAGCGGAAUUCCUAGUGUAGCGGUGAAAUGCGUAGAUAUUAGGAGGAACACCAGUGGCGAAGGCGGCUUGCUGGACGACAACUGACGCUGAGGCGCG